AGCUUUGUGCAGUGGCAGUAUCAUAGCCAAUGAGGUUUAUUGGAGGUGCAAUUACUGCUAACUGAAAACUUUUCCCCCAAUACCCCGCCAUGACGACUUGAAAUAUAGUCAGCAUUGGCAAUUUUUGGCAGUCUCCAUGGGGA